UGCGAGGGGAACAGUGGUGAGAACAGUAAUUAUUUCCUGGGAGCACGCUGACGGCCAAGGUAUUUAUACAUCAGGCGAGAGGGAGAAAAACAAUACUUGCCACCUACCUACCCAUUAGAGGUGACGUCUGGAUGAGGGGGGACAUGAAUAGGACUGUACUGUCAGCUUCUGAUCUGUCGGGUCUUUGCCUGACUUCGCUCUCCGAAACAAGUUCUCUGACUCUUCAAACACGCGGAUAUUCUGACAUUUCCGUGAAGUCAGAAAACCCCUCUCCGCCAGGUCUUGCUUCUCAGGUUCUUCUCCGUCUUCCUUUCACAAAUCCGCGCGGAGCGCUCCUCUGCGACCAGGAGAUCUUCUCCACGGCUUCGACCUCAUUGCUGCAAUCCCGAGGCGCGGUCCUUGCCACGGUUUCCUGACCACGGCAGAAUCACCCGUUACCAGAGGCAAUGGGAUACCUUCAUUCCUGCCCUCGGCCACUUCCCCGAUGCAUUCGUUGAUUUUCCAAAGCAGAAAGUUAGCUGAUCAUCAGAAUUGUAAAUUAUUCAGUCUAAUGGCAUGGAAAUUAAUAAAGCAAAGUCGUGAGACGACCAUCUGUUUCAAAGUUAUCUACUUGUAGAUGUUUAUCAAGCUAAGAAACUCACCAUAUGUGUAACAUAUUGUCUGAAGAAAAGGAAAUCUCAACUUCUUUCUGGAAAAUCCUGACCUUGUACAUUAUGUUUUCCUGCAUCAUGUUAGGGCAACUUCUCUAGUCACAGGUGAAUCCGAGAGUUGCUUCCCCCUCUCUCUCUGUUCGUUUUUCGUAAUAGGAAGUCUGAAUGAAUUCUGUUUGCAUAAGGUGUUCAGCCUCAUUCUACAAAAGGUCUGAAAACAUCUUUUAAGUCCAAUCUGUUCUUGUGUUUGCCUUAGACUAACCUGUUUUUAAAAUGCCUCUUCAGAAAUGAUACACUUGAAUUUUUCUCAUCGUGGCUUCUGUCCAAACAUGUCACAUUGCUUUGGAGAUAAUAUUCCAUUCAUUUUCACAAUAUUCCUCUGAAAAUGUAGACAAUAUUAUGCCACCUUGCAUGUGGUCAAACUACAGCAUUGGGGGGGGGGGGAGUGUGAUUAACUCUCUCCCCUGCUGUCAGCCCCUGGGAUGUAAUUCUGUUCUGAACAUCAUUUGCACGUAGCUGAAUACCCCUUACGAAGUUCCCUCUCCACUCCCGAGAUAAUUCCGGGAGCGCAUCUUGUCUUCCUUCAUUUGCCUGUAGGUUUUUGUAUCUGGGUUUGAUCCGUGUGAGUUCACAUACUGAACUCAGCCCAGUUCAAUGCUUGGAAUUAUAAGAGUGUUUAAGACUCAAAUAAAAGGAAGGGCUAUGAGCAUUACAGAUGGGCGCAGUGUGUGACAUAUUAUUUAAGCACACCUAUAUAUUUCUUGAAUAAAGAAAAAUGAAAAUUUGGCACUUUACAGGAUAAUAGCGGUAUAUUUGUUUUCCCACGCCUUGCUUAUUUUUCCUCAUGACAGUCUCAUUGUAUAGACGGGGUUGAUGCUCCCGAAGCAGAGAUGAGCAAACUGAGACUCGGAGAGCUUUGGUCGCUCUCCGGGUAUCUGUUAUCUGUAGGGACAGACACGGGGGUCAUUCAGCAGUCGUUCCCACUGUCUCGGAAUUCCUUCUUUCCUCUUCCCACUGCAACGUCUUCCCUAAAACUCUACUAACCAACCUUCUUCCAUGUCCGCUCCCCGAGGCUUCAGAUAUCUCAUUUCCCUAAGACUCAGCUUUUAUCACAUUUCCCCCCCGUACCUGAAAAUCAUCCGUGGGUACCGGCUGUCCCUGUGAGGUCAUGAAUAUAAUGGGUGCCUGCCUCCCAGUUCCUGACCUGGAGCUUCUAAGACCUUGGAAUGUCCUGGGGAUAGGAGAGCCUUUGGCCACAAUGAGGCUAUUCUUGGUGGGCUCCUGAGAAGCCUCAGGAUGGGGACCAAGAAGCUUGCAACUUCCAGGCCCACAACCCCACCCCGCAGCCCCCCACCCGGUGUCCCGAGGGAAGACAGCGGUAGAGGAAUCACCUCUGCUCGGUUCCGCUGGACUUGGGAGGGUGCCUGACAGACAUCAUGAACCCUGUGGCUAUUUUUCUUGAUUUUAUUGCGUUAUCUAGUUCAUGUAAAAUGGUAC
rnacentral:lncRNA from 1 species